rnacentral:misc_RNA from 1 species
AGUCGUAACAAGGUUUCCGUAGGUGAACCUGCGGAAGGAUCAUUCACAAGAUUAUAAUAUUUUAUUACUUUGUGGAAAAUUUGGUUGAAUUUACAUGUUUUAUUACAAAAAAUUAAUUAUAAUUAAAAAAAUAAUUUUAAGAAAACCUCCAACAACGGAUCUCUUGGUUCCCAGAUCGAUGAAGAGCGCAGCGAAUUGCGAAAUGUGAUGUGUAUUGCAGUGAAUCAUCAAUUCUUGAACGCACAUGGCACCCCUUUUAGGGGUAUGCUUGUAUGAGGGUGUUUAAUAUGAAAUUGCUUUGGCUUUUUUUAAAUAAAUGGUUUUUCAAACAUUGUUACUAAUAAAGAUGAAAGAAUCAGUGCAACAAGCUGUGUUGAAUCUUUCAAUUAAAAUCUUUUUUAGUUAACAUUUUUUAACUAUUUACGCCUCAUAUCAAGCAAGACUACCCGCUGAACUUAAGCAUAUCAAUAA